UGGCUCAGUGGUGAAGAGCACUGACUGCUCUUCCAGAGGUCCUGGGUUCAAAUCCCAG
rnacentral:tRNA from 1 species